UGGGGAAUAUUGCGCAAUGGGCGAAAGCCUGACGCAGCGACGCCGCGUGAGGGAUGAAGGCCUUCGGGUUGUAAACCUCUUUCAGCAGGGAAGAAGCGAGAGUGACGGUACCUGCAGAAGAAGCACCGGCUAACUACGUGCCAGCAGCCGCGGUAAUACGUAGGGUGCAAGCGUUGUCCGGAAUUAUUGGGCGUAAAGAGCUCGUAGGCGGUUUGUCGCGUCUGCUGUGAAAACUCGGGGCUCAACUCCGAGCUUGCAGUGGGUACGGGCAGACUAGAGUGCGGUAGGGGAGACUGGAAUUCCUGGUGUAGCGGUGAAAUGCGCAGAUAUCAGGAGGAACACCGGUGGCGAAGGCGGGUCUCUGGGCCGUAACUGACGCUGAGGAGCGAAAGCAUGGGGAGCGAACAGGAUUAGAUACCCUGGUAGUCCAUGCCGUAAACGUUGGGCGCUAGGUGUGGGGCUCUUUCCACGAGUUCUGUGCCGCAGCUAACGCAUUAAGCGCCCCGCCUGGGGAGUACGGCCGCAAGGCUAAAACGU
rnacentral:rRNA from 1 species